rfam:Clostridium difficile 630 complete genome
AUUUACAUACCACAUAGUUAAUCUAAAAC